rnacentral:misc_RNA from 1 species
AUCGUUGCAUGAACACGGAUGACAGAUGCAACAAAUAUUUUUUUAUUGUUAUCAUUGAUGCAAGUACGAUCAUCGAUAAUUUAGUGAUUUUUCGGCAAAUUUCCACCCUUUUCUCAGUAUUUUUCUUAUUGAGAGGAAUAUUUCAAAAUGUUUGGUAAAAAGAAAGAGCCAAAGAGACAAUCCAGGUCUGGAAAUCUUGAACAGUAUGGAAUAUUCCAAGUACCUGAUCAUUUUGACGACCUUGGAGCUUCUGUAGAAGAUGAAGACGACGAGGAUUUGGAAGCAGAAUUGGCUGCCUUAACAAGUAACAGUAAUGUAAUGCGAAAACAGAAGCCUAAAAUUCAGAGGGUAGAUUCAUCUGAUCUAAACGCAAUGGUAUCUGAAAGUAUAAAAGAUAUAGAUGAGAAUGUAUCCGAUGGGGAAGAUGAUCCAGAUUUAUUGGAAGAAUUGGAUAUGAUUACCAAGAAUGAGGCGGCUUUGUCGGACGAAGAAGUACGUCCAGAAGAAGAAAUUUCUGAAAAUAAUCUUGACAAGGCAAAUGAUAGUCCUGUAGACGAGAAAUUACAAUUACUGCAAGAAAGACUAACUCUUUAUCAAAAAGCUGAGAAGAAAGCAAAACAACAAAAUGAAACUAGUAAAGCUAGGAGAUUUGGCAGAGGAGUUAAGAUGUUGCAACAGCUUCUAAAGGACGCUCAGUCAGGUAUUGCUAUAAAUGAAGCUGAUGUUCCACCUCCUUUACCUCCUUCAGCUACUUCUGAAUCCGCGGAACAACCUACAGACAACGAUGUAUCCUCUAAAAUGCCAGAAGAGAAUCCUUCCCCGCCUAGUUUUGAACAUGAUGCCGAUUCAGAAUCUGCUUCAGCUGAACCAGCUGCUCCAGCUGUUCCAGCUGUUCCAGUUGUUCAAAUCGAUCAGGAAGCAUUAACUUUGUUAAAAAAACGACAGCAGGAGUAUAAGGUUGCUGCACUUGCAUGGAAAAAAGCUGGUAAUAUGCAAGAGGCUAUGCAAUAUGUCAAAAUUGCUAAACAAUUUGAUAUAGUUGUUGCGGCAAUUAAUGCUGGAGAAGCGAUUGAUUUAUCCGAUAUGCCACCUACGCCAAUUGGGCCUUCUGCAUCAGCCGUAGAUCCUGCAUCACGAUCGGUUGAAAAAGAAGACGUAGAAAUUCAGCAACAUGCCGAACCAGAUACACCGGCUGCAAAUAAAAUGGAUGAGGUAUUGGAACAAAAACAUGGAAUAGAAGAUAUUGAAAGUGCUCUCAAGGAGCGUCUUGAAGUAUACAAACGAACGAAAGCAGCUGCAGAAACCGAAGGAAAUUCUUCUAAAGCUCGAAGAUAUGGUCGUAUUUGUAAGCAGUUCGAGGAAGCACUUAAAAAUCACGCACGUGGAAGACCCGUGGCUCUAGAUGAACUUCCUACUCCACCAGGAUUUUCACCACUUUCUACAAGUACUCAGUCUGCUGGUGUGCCUGUGACGGAAAGAGAGAAAGAAGAUGACAAAUCUAAAUCAGAAUCUAAUUCGGAAGGAACAUCCGGAAUAGGUGUGCCAAGUCCACCUCCGAGAACAAAUCAAGUAGUAAAUAAAAAUCAAAAGCACGCUACUACACGGGCAGAUAAACAGAUGAUACAGUUGCAGCAACGUCAACACGAAUUAAAACAGGCCGCGUUAAAAGCUAAAAAAGAUGGAGAUUUAGAAUUGGCGCGCGAUUAUUUAAGACAAGCGAAAGGAAUACAGCCAUUGAUUCAAGCUAGUAUAGCUGGUUUACCAGUUGAUAUGAAUUCUAUACCUUUGUCACCGGUUGCUAAAAUGGAACUUAGUGCGCACGGUUUAACGGGUCAAACAGAUGAAAAUUUUCAAUUGGUCAAUAGUGAAGACUGUUUGGAGGAAUCUGGUGGAAGCGAUGAACAAAUUUACGAUAACUUGGAGAAUCAAUUAAUUAAACAAAUAAAAUGGUGCCUUUCUACGAGAGAUCAUUCGAAACAAUUGGGAGAUGUUCCGGGGUAUAACAGAUGGGAACGACUCGCUCUAGGAUAUACUCGAGAUUUGGAUAUGUUACGCGUUAGAAGACGCGAUUCUUUACCGCCUCCGUUGCAUCACUAUGAAACUAAAACUUAUGCGAUAGUUCAGAGUUGUACAGACUUGAACGAUAGCGAUAUUGAGAUAUCGAUAAUCAGAGGUAUCAAUUACGCGCGGGAAGCAGAUACUUAUGUUAUGUUUGAGUUUCCUUAUCCUUCGGACAAUCCCCCUGCAGAUAGAACAUCGACGAUUAAAGGUACUUGCAAUCCAGAGUACCAAGCUGUCUUCCCAAUAACAGGAAUCUUAGAUCGCAGCUCACGACAAUGCCAACGGUCAUUCAAACGACAUGCUCUCAAGUGUCAAGUUUGGGCAAAAGGAUGCUCGCUGAACCCCAUCCUGUGUUGCACUCAUCCAAGAUUUUCUAACAGGAUUUUUCAGAAGCGAUAGUUUGCUGGGUACCGUGACAGUAAAAUUGCAUCCGCUCGAGAUGAAAUGCAUUUUACAUGAUUCGUUUCCAUUAAUGGAGGGGAGGAAGCCAACAGGAGGAAAGCUCGAGUUGAAGAUACGUCUUAGAAAUCCGAUUCUCGCCAAACAGAUAGAACAAAUCACCGACAAAUGGUUGAUCCUCGAUAAUUGAUGCACUUUCGUUUUUAUUUAUUUUUUUUUUUUU